rnacentral:rRNA from 1 species
CACGGAGUUAGCCGGGACUUCUUCUGCUGCUACCGUCAUUAUCUUCACAGCUGAAAGAGCUUUACAACCCUAAGGCCUUCAUCACUCACGCGGCAUGGCUAGAUCAGGGUUGCCCCCAUUGUCUAAGAUUCCCCACUGCUGCCUCCCGUAGGAGUCUGGGCCGUGUCUCAGUCCCAGUGUGGCUGAUCAUCCUCUCAAACCAGCUAUGGAUCGUCGGCUUGGUGAGCCAUUACCCCACCAACUACCUAAUCCAACGCGGGCCGAUCCUUCUCCGAUAAAUCUUUCCCCCAAAGGGCGUAUACGGUAUUACCCCCAGUUUCCCAGGACUAUUCCGUAGAGAAGGGCACGUUCCCACGCGAUACUCACCCGUCCGCCGCUCACCCGAAGGUGCGCUCGACUUGCAUGUGUUAGGCCUGCCGCCAGCGUUCGUUCUGAGCCAGGAUCAAACUCU